UUCCUUAAGAAUAGAGGAAUUGGUGCUCCCUGACCAGUCCAACGACAUUGGGCCGUAGUAAAUCAACAACGAAAGAUAAAUAAAUCUACCAUAUGGUCUCUUUAUUUUAAAUUUAACAUUCAUAGGCUGCAAAUAAUAAGUGACCACGUAACAAUUAAGAACAUUAGAAUGGGAAAAGGAUAAACUGAGAAUAAAGUAAAGAAAAGAGCAAGCGUGUGCGUAUG
rnacentral:lncRNA from 1 species